CAAGAGUGACUAGCUAACUGAAUCAAUAAAUAAUUGAUAACAUAAGGGAAAAUAAUGAUAUUACCUUAUUAUUAGUGUCGUCCAAAACUGGUGCCAGAAGACUCGGUAAGGCCAGAGACACAAACGUUAAUCGUCUUAAUCAGGCGUAAAGGGUUUGUAGGCGGCUUUAAAAUUUACUUGUAAAAUUAAAAUAAAUAAUAAGUAAAGAAUAAAAGCUAGAAUCAAAUAGAGGAUAUAUGAAAUAAUGCUUAGAGUAGGUCUGAUAUCCUUAGAUACUAAGUAGAAUAUUAAAGGCGAAAGCUUUUUUCCAUUAAUGAUUGACGCUCAGAAACGAAGGUGAGGAUAGGAAAUAGGAUUAGAUACCCAGAAUACCCCUCUCUGUCAACGAUGAAUGGUAGUUAUUAGUACAAAUUAUUAAUGGCAAUGUUAACACGAUAACCAUUCCGCCUUGUGAGUACAACUGCAAAGUUGAAAACAAAAAAAUUAGUCGGUUUCGGAGCAAACGAAGUGAAGCAUGUUAUUUAAUUCAUUUAAUCCCGCGAUAUGA
rnacentral:rRNA from 1 species